GGAGUAUGGGCCGUGUCUCAGUCCCAUUGUGGCUGAUCAUCCUCUCAAACCAGCUACUGAUCGUCGCCUUGGUGGUCCAUUACACCGCCAACUGGCUAAUCAGACGCGGAUCCAUCUCACACCGAUAAAUCUUUUACCCCUGCACCAUGCGGUGCUGUGGUCUUAUGCGGUAUUACCAGCCGUUUCCAGCUGCUAUCCCCCAGUGUGAGGCAGGUUAUCCACGCGUUACUCACCCGUCCGCCACUAAGUUAAGUUCCAUCCGAAAAUUUCCCUUAACCCCGUUCGACUUGCAUGUGUUAGGCACGCCGCCAGCGUUCAUC
rnacentral:rRNA from 1 species